rnacentral:rRNA from 1 species
GUUUGAUCCUGGCUCAGGAUAAACGCUGGCGGCGUGCUUAACACAUGCAAGUCGAACGGUGAACCGCUUUCGGGCGGGGAUCAGUGGCGAACGGGUGAGUAACACGUGGGUAACCUGCCCUCCACUCUGGGAUAACCCCGGGAAACCGGAGCUAAUACCGGAUACGACACCAACGGGCAUCCGUAUGGUGUGGAAAGUUUUUCGGUCUGGGAUGGGCUCGCGGCCUAUCAGCUUGUUGGUGAGGUAGUGGCUCACCAAGGCGACGAUCUGUAGCUGGUCUGAGAGGAUGAUCAGCCACACUGGGACUGAGACACGGCCCAAACUCCUACGGGAGGCAGCAGUGGGGAAUAUUGGACAAUGGGCGCAAGCCUGAUCCAGCCAUGCCGCGUGAGUGAUGAAGGCCCUAGGGUUGUAAAGCUCUUUCGUCAGGGACGAUAAUGACGGUACCUGAAGAAGAAGCCCCGGCUAACUUCGUGCCAGCAGCCGCGGUAAUG